GAUGAACGCUGGCGGCGUGCCUAAUACAUGCAAGUCGAGCGAAUGGAUUAAGAGCUUGCUCUUAUGAAGUUAGCGGCGGACGGGUGAGUAACACGUGGGUAACCUGCCCAUAAGACUGGGAUAACUCCGGGAAACCGGGGCUAAUACCGGAUAACAUUUUGAACCGCAUGGUUCGAAAUUGAAAGGCGGCUUCGGCUGUCACUUAUGGAUGGACCCGCGUCGCAUUAGCUAGUUGGUGAGGUAGCGGCUCACCAAGGCAACGAUGCGUAGCCGACCUGAGAGGGUGAUCGGCCACACUGGGACUGAGACACGGCCCAGACUCCUACGGGAGGCAGCAGUAGGGAAUCUUCCGCAAUGGACGAAAGUCUGACGAAGCAACGCCGCGUGAGUGAUGAAGGCUUUCGGGUCGUAAAACUCUAUUGUUAGGGAAGAACAAGUGCUAGUUGAAUAAGCUGGCACCUUGACGGUACCUAACCAGAAAGCCACGGCUAACUACGUGCCAGCCGCCGCCGUAA
rnacentral:rRNA from 1 species